ACCUACGGGGCGCAGCAGUAGGGAAUCUUCCACAAUGGGCGAAAGCCUGAUGGAGCAACGCCGCGUGGGUGAAGAAUGUCUUCGGAUCGUAAAACCCUGUUGUUAGAGAAGAAAGUGCGUGAGAGUAACUGUUCACGUUUCGACGGUAUCUAACCAGAAAGACACGGCUAACUACGUGCCAGCAGCCGCGGUAAUACGUAGGUGGCAAGCGUUAUCCGGAUUUAUUGGGCGUAAAGGGAACGCAGGCGGUCUUUUAAGUCUGAUGUGAAAGCCUUCGGCUUAACCGGAGUAGUGCAUUGGAAACU
rnacentral:rRNA from 1 species